rnacentral:lncRNA from 1 species
CAUCACACAACUCCUAUCACCUAAUGCAUCAGAUAAGGUGAAAAAGCAUUUAAAACACAAGGAAGGGGCAAAUGCACCGGGGCUUGCCUUUGUUGCAGAGAAGAGGUUCUAGAUACUUCUAACACGAUGAUCAGUUAGAUGGCUCCAUCCACUUGAUGAACAGGCACUGGAGUAGACUCCUCUUCAGCAACCACUUUAUCUUAAAUCUUCACUCUUUAUUUUGGGAGCUCUACAUGAAAUGACAUGAUCAUGAAUGCUUAUGCUUAUGUAGUUAGCAAAUAAGGUAUUAUAAAGCAUUACAUGAUUACACCUACAAGCUAUCAUCAUAAGUAAUAGUUACCAGGGAUCUACUUAUCCUUAGAACUCAUCUAACCAUCCAAAACUUGCUAAACAACUUCAUUCCUUACUAAGACACUAGGUGUCCUAAAUACCCUCGGGUAAAACUCUUUUCCUUUAUUGAGAAAUAAUUAAUUUGCUAAGCAAAUCUUGUCCAAACAGUUCUAAACUUUACCCAAGGGUUCACAUGCUCAAGAUAAGCUUACACAAUUUUUAGUGCUCUAUUUUUAUUACUAAAACUCAUAUAAUCCUAUUAAAACCAAGUUUUAAUUAUACAAAAAUAAGGACCUGCCUAAAAACCCCUAAAACUAUUUUUUUAAACCUAGAGAACCCAUUUUUGCGAGUCCAACAAUAUUUAUCCCACAAAUGUUACUUCUUUUUGUAGUUCUAGGCAAAAUUCACAAGCUCUAUGGUAAAUAAUAAAAACAAACCAUAUACAGAGCUAGGGCUGAAAUCGGCCCAGUUGGUCCAGCACGAGAGAAAAUUGGUGCCAGCCGGCCCAAAGCUCUAGACUCGCGCACCCGCGCUCUCUUCGCGCGCGCCGGCAGCGGCGUCGUGACGCUUCCGAUACGCUAGAGCAGUAAAGAUGAAACAGCCAGGCCGAUGAGUAUCACCACUCUAUAAGGAGAUCAAAAUAUAUAAACGACAACAUGGAAUACGGCUGUGCUUGCCUGGCCACGGUGAGGCGGAGCUACGGCCGGCGUGGUCACCUGCUCAGAGAGAACGGCAACAGCCCCGGCCUCAGGCGAGUUGAACGAGGUAACGCAGUUCCACGCAGACGCGAGAGCAUGGACACGGAGAACUCUCGUCGAACUCUACAAGCAACAGCAAGGCGCCAGAGCACUCCACCGAGCAGGGAAGCAAGGCAGUAUCAAGGAAACAAAGAAACAUGAGCACGUCGAGCAUGUUCACACGUGAUUGUUAUUCGUGUUUCGGUCGACAGCUGCAUGGGUUGGACACGCGGCCUCCACGCCAAGGCUCCACGCACAACCCAGGCUAUGGCUCAUUGAAAAACAUUGGUCGGUGUCGCACAGGCAGGAAACAUGCAGGCAGGGGAGGUCUCCAUGGAUAACUACGACGCUUCAGAUUUUUACAGCGUGAAUCUCACGGCUCGACCACUAGAAACAUUCCGGUCACACCCUGAUACACCCCUAGCAACAUCCUAUCUUAUCUUCAACUGCUCAUCCACGCACCAGAGAAAUCUCCCACGCUAUCCCAAUACAAAAAUCUGCCCACUGUCUCAAUCUGAAAUAGCACCUGUGGAGCACACAGAGACGUGGAGAUCUUUGCUUUUCCAUAUCCUAAAAGCUUCAGCCACCAGAACCUACACUCAAACUUCUUUCUGCUACCCACGCCGAGCACAUAGGAAACAAGCAAGCAAUUACCUACCGUCGUGCAGCAUGGGCAUGUCGCCCCCUUCCUCUCCUAGCUGUCCAAACUGAGACAGGUUACACAAAACUGACCAAUAUUCAAUGCCCAGCAUGUCUGACAGCUCAGGUUCCAGCAAUUCCUACUCCAUUAUUUGCAACACGACUUGCAAAUCGGUCUUAAUCAAAGUUGUGCACUGAUCCACACUCUAUCACUUUGGUAUAAUAACUAUAACAAAAACUCCACGGAUCACGCACAGGAGAGCACCAAAGUCCACAAAAAAAACACAGAUGCCUAGCUUCAAAUCACAGAGAAGGGAAUCAUAGCUGCAGCAUGGAAAGCUUUUUGCUCCCAAAAACUGAACCCAAUUUUCAGUCACCUAGAACUGAAUUCAGCACUAAUCAACUGAACCCCUACCUUUAACCCCUUUGAUCCUCACUAGUGCAAGCAAUACAUGCCAAUCUUAGUUAACAAAGAUUGUUCCCAAUGUAUAGAUUUAAAUGUUUGCUGCAGCAGCCUUAGGUCAAAGGUUCAUGGAUCAAAAGUUAUGGUGCUCCAAAAUGGGGUGAAAAUACAAGAAUUCAGAUUCAGCUAGCUGAAACAAAAACUGAAAUCAACACCAGACAGAGAGAGUUUGGGCACAAUUUACUCCAAAUUUGGUGCAGCACCAAAUCAAACUUAUUUAAGGAAACUUGUUCACUAACUUAUGAUCUCCAAUGUUUCUAUAUAAUUCAUAGUUUAAAACCUAAUGGAAUGGCCACACAAGUGCUCUAAACAGGCCACCAAUCGCUAAAAUUCAGUUGUCCGUUAAUUGAACAAAAUUCAGUCCAUGUAAACUGACAACCCACUUUUGAGUAACUUUUACUCCAUGUUCUGGGUCCGAUCAAGCCUAACUCACACAACAAAAUUUGUUCACUGACAUAUUCUCUUCAACUCUCCCAUAGCAACUAUGGUCCAAAACUGCCUAGAACAGGCAACACACAGCCCCAAAAUGGCACUAAAAACACUGAUUUCAGACUUAGUCAACUAUUCGAAGUCUGAAAAUCCAGAAGUCUGACAGUCCCACUUUGAACACCUUUUUAUCCUAGUUGCAUAUGGUUUUAGGGCUGCUACAUUUCAUAAACAUUGUUCUCCUAUAGUUACUCUAUAGGUUUGUUAUAACAACUGUUUCCAACAUACUCAUGGAUUAAAGGUUACAGGGAUUCAAAAACAGAUAAACAAAACUGUUUUGGGCUGAUUCCAUCCGACCCAAAUCUGAAUUUUUGCAAAUUACUUCAAAUUCUCCCACAUCACUUGGAGAGCUCCAAAUAUAAAAAAUGUUCAUUUUUCCAAGCUCUACAACUUUUAUAUAUGAACUUUUAGCAAAACAUAGCUGGAUCUUAAAAUCCACUUUUGGGCUAGUUUAGAGUUGAAAUUGGACUUGAUCUGCUUCAAGUGCUUCAUCAAUUUAUUGCAUCCUACUAAAAACAAGGUUAACCUUAAGCUCAAACCCAACUUUAGUGUAUAGAGCUCAUGUCCAAAUUUCUAUUGGUUUAAAAGUUGCUUGUUUGUACUAGAUUUCAAACAAGGUCUCUGAACUUCUCUUGCUCUCUUCGAAACGACACAACCUCACCCUUUUCUUCAAGUUCCAAAUGCUUCUGAGGCCAAGUUGCUUAAUCAAAUUGGUGCUCCACAUGUUGCUCCACAAGUUUGGUACAAUGACCCUUAGCUAGAACCAUAUGGAUUCCAAACAAUCAAAGCCCAAAGUUGGCAUUAAACACACAAAUUCAGACUUUGGUUUUUCACUAAGUCUGAUAAUCCAGAAUUAAACACUACAUUUUUGGACCACUGUUUCUACCAGUUCCAAAUAGUUUUAGGGGUAUGAACCUUAACCAAACUUAUACCCCAACAUGUGGUAUUCCACUUUGGUACAUAAAUUGUAAUCCAUAGCCAUAUGGAUCAGCCACCAACAGGCUUCCAAAGUUGCUUCAGCAUAAAAAUCUUCAGUUUCAGACAUUGCAGUCUGAAAUUCAGAUUCUGACAUUCCCACUUUGGACCAGUUUUCCACCUAGUUCCAUAUGAAUUUAGGGUUAAGUAGCUUAAACAAAAUUAUACAUCUAGUGUAGCUCUACAGCUUUGCUACUGUGACCAUCUUGAAAUUGCCUAUAUAUCAAAAGUUAUGAAGAUUCAAAGACAGCUACUUGAUAUUGUUUCCAGCCAUCCAACCUUAGGUCCAAAAAGUUAAUUUUUGAGUUUUCUUCACUUCUUCCUAUAAAACAUGGAAAUCUCUGUACCUGAAAGUUGUUUGGGUUGGAGAACUCUAUAAAUUUGGUAAUUUGACCUUUUGGCAAAUUAUUGCCAAAUCACAAGUUCCACUUUUGGAGCUCUAAACUGAGAUUUUCAAAACCAGGUCCUUCACUCUUCACUAAUCACAACAUCAUACUUAGAUUAUUUUGGAUCCUAGUAAAUGCAUUCUAAGUGUAUCAAGCAAGUUAAUGCGAGUGCGUAUGAUGACAUGCCAAUUUUUUAGUUCUCGUAACACCAGGGGUGUUACAGCCUUUCCCCCUAAAAAGGAAUCUCGUCCCGAGAUUUAAACUCCAAGCCAAGUAAUGGAUAAGGAAAUGCAUUACUUGUUUAUUUUCCCAUUACUCUUAAAAGACAGGAGGCAUACCUCUGUUGGUUUACAUUAAGAACAAAACACACCAGACCUAGGUUUACAAGACACUAGAAACUCAGGAACAUGCUUUUCUAGAUUCUCCAAUUCUCAUGUGGCUUGAUCUUCCGUGUGUUUUGGUUCCACCGUAUCUUGUAAAACUCGAUCACUUUCUUCGGGUGGCCCUAUCCUUUUGAUCCAAAACCUUUAUGAAAUAUUCCGAGUAGAUUAAAUCCGGUUGAAGAUUGACAUUUGAAAUCUCAAGAACAUGUUCGGGGACUCGAAGAAACCUCUUCAACUGAUACACGUGGAAUAUGUUGGGCACUGUUGAAAGAUUCUCUAGCAGCUGCACCUUAUAAACCAAAGGUCCACCAAAAUCUCUAUUCCAAAUCUUGGUUCAUCUUACUACUUCUAGGGUAAUUGGAGUUUCAGACUGCAACUUGAUCGUAAAUUCCACAACCCUUUCCGGAGGUAAACCAAGCAGAUUCUUGGGGAACACCUCUGCAAACCUCUUAACAUCGGGUAUAUUCUUUACUUCUUUCACUUAAACUCCUGAUGCAGACGAACCUUAUUAUCUCCCAGAACAACUUGACUAACCACCUUAUUAUAACCUUAUGUCGAACUGGUUGUCAUCAGGAGUUGAAGCUUCACAUUAAAACCACGUAGGAAGUAUUACCUUUUCCUCUCACUAGUAUCCACAAAAUCCAAACCAUACUGGGAUAGGUGUGUAAACCUCUCAAAAUACUCCAUUAUACUCUCUUUUUUGCAUAGCUUCUGACCUAAGAACUCAUUGAACUUUAUUUAUAUAGGGGCUUUCGAAAUAUCAUGUGCCCGAAAUACUCCACGGAACUCAACCCGAGAACUUAACGUCCUUCUGGCUGCAGCGCAAGGUAUUCUACCCACCAACUAAACUUGGCUUUGAGUCUUCAAAAAUAGGGAAAGGUAGCAUAGAAAGGCAAAGACAGGUAACAUGAACAAGGUAGACGAAACACGUACUAAAGCUACUAUAUAGGGGGUUUAACUUAAAGUUAUAUGUCAUGAUGCAUGCUCGUCCUAUUCGUCCUCACAAUCUUGCCAUCAUAUAGUGGCUUGCACGCUCUAUGGCGGUGGCAUACCUACUCACUCCGGAGUUAACUAGUCGUAAUUUCCUAGAGUUUAGUCAGUGUACCUGCAGAAAAUUCCAUUACAGCCUAAACCCCAUGAUGCAAUUCACACAUUUGGUCACAGUUUAUACUCCAUAUAUUUAUAUAUAGAUGACAACUCCUCAUUAAGCGCCGAGCCACGCAUAGGCGCCGCUGCCACACUUUAACCACAUGACAGCACAUUGUGGUAACUAUUCAUUACACUUCUCAACACUCCCAUGUUUGUAUACCCAUACACAUCCAUGGGGUAUUGAAUCCUAGAAAAGUAAUUACUCCACAUUGCAACCUUCAUAUAUACAUAUGUAGAAUAUGUAUAUAGUCUAGUGCCACAUUUAAGCACUCCCCUAGACCGACGUUUGUUCGGUCAUGCUCUCACAACUCACCUUUACCUGAGCGUCGAUCCAUUCAAAACUGAAUGACACUAAAAAUAACAUUACACAUGUAUGCAUUACCCUUCCUAGGUUGUGGGUUAGUGGUUAGCAUCUUAAACUAAGCCACCUGAUAGUCCUUAGUUUUAACCACAUACUAUUUGCACUUCUACUAUCAAGCCUUGAUUAUAGAUUCUUAAGUUUAUAAAAAUCAUUUAGACUCAAAAUCAUUUUGAAGUUUAACAAAGGAUUACUUUAAUAUCCAUGCUAAUGAGGGAUCGCUCCGAUACCACGCUGUGACAGCCCUCCCAAGUUAUCAGGCCCACAUGCACCAACCCUUGCCAUUAACGGUCUCAGAUGGCUGUGCACGUGUACCGGGUAACUUAACAAGGCUAUCGAGUUCACCAACUGGAACUCAUCAUCCCAAGGAUCUCCCACAUAAUAGGUAUAUUACAAUAAUCACAUUUGAUACACACACAUUGGAGAUAGAGCGGAAGACUUUUAUAAAGUACACUUUACAUUCCAGAACUCAAGUUUUACAAGGUAGAAAGAGAUGUAUUUAUUACAAGUCCUGAUAGUACCCAAAGUGCAUAACUUAUUACAAUAAUUGGAAGGGUGAAGCCUUUUAAGAGAUACACAUAAACAUUCUAAGCUUCAAGGCCUCCACAUGAAGUAACUAACCAAAAGAUAAGGGAAUAAAACUUCUCCUGCAAAAACAACAGGGGAUAAAACCCUGAGUACGCAAUUACUCAGCAAGACUUACCCGACUAAAGAAAAGACUCUCAAGGGUAUGCUAGUUGAUUGGGAAUCAAGGUAAGGUUUAUCAAUGAUCAAAGACUCCUUUUGCAGAAAAGCUUGCUACCAGUUGAUCCUUAAGCCAAGUUUUAUUUCACUAGUUAGGUUAUUACCUGAAUCUAUAUUUGCCUGAUCUAGUUCAAGCACUUGGCCUAUACUAGCUCCAUUUUAUUCAUUCUCAUAUUUCACUUGCUAACUACGAUGAUGGUCACCGGGAUGAGUCUCCAUAACCGAGGAGCAACGACGAUUCGAACCGAUUAUACCCAGCUGGGGAUCUCUAACCACACGACAUAUGUAGCACUUGACCCUUGCAUAUGUCAACCGUUCCCACGGAGUCCUCCACUACAUGAACAGGUCCGCGCCACCCGAGAGCACAUUACCCUACCAAGCGUGCUACUAUGCCAGGAGGGUACAUGCUACUCCCGCCAUCUCUCCACUCCCAGUGCGCGAUUGUCUCUUCACGUAUGGAAUAGCCGGGUUCAAGCUUACCCUGUCCCAUACCAGGGUAUGUGGCUAGUUGCAAAGUCUCAACCACAACAGGCCAGUCAACGGUACGGUCCUUAAUCGACACAAACGGGCGACUCUGUCUGCUCAGCGCCUGGUCUAGAUUUAUUAACCAUUUCCCCAUUUUUGGUACCCGGCAGGGGUACUCUUUUCCAAUGAUGAGCCCACUCCGGCCGAAGUGGAGUCAUCACCUUAGUUUGCUUUGAUUUUUGAAUCAAAAAGCCGAUAACCAAUGUUCCACAAUCAUUCUUUUUGAAAACAAAUGAUUUUUCAGUUUCUAAGCAGGGUUAAGCAUUAUCAGUUCUUUUUAUAAAUCAGGGAUUAAGGAGUUUCCAAGGAAUGGUAAUGCAUCAAUUUUUCAUCACACAACUCCUAUCACCUAAUGCAUCAGAUAAGGUGAAAAAGCAUUUAAAACACAAGGAAGGGGCAAAUGCACCGGGGCUUGCCUUUGUUGCAGAGAAGAGGUUCUAGAUACUUCUAACACGAUGAUCAGUUAGAUGGCUCCAUCCACUUGAUGAACAGGCACUGGAGUAGACUCCUCUUCAGCAACCACUUUAUCUUAAAUCUUCACUCUUUAUUUUGGGAGCUCUACAUGAAAUGACAUGAUCAUGAAUGCUUAUGCUUAUGUAGUUAGCAAAUAAGGUAUUAUAAAGCAUUACAUGAUUACACCUACAAGCUAUCAUCAUAAGUAAUAGUUACCAGGGAUAUACUUAUCCUUAGAACUCAUCUAACCAUCCAAAACUUGCUAAACAACUUCAUUCCUUACUAAGACACUAGGUGUCCUAAAUACCCUGGGGUAAAACUCUUUUCCUUUAUUGAGCAAUAAUUAAUUUGCUAAGCAAAUCUUGUCCAAACAGUUCUAAACUUUACCCAAGGGUUCACAUGCUCAAGAUAAGCUUACACAA